AAUAUUAGCUUCUAGGGUUCCGAUUAAGGUGUAAACAACUUUAAGGCUGGUCCGAGAGAAGCAGCUAAUUAAAAAAAGUUUUUGUAAAACUUGAUCAAUUUGAUCAAUUAGUCACACGGCGGGAUAAAAGCCCGGGAGAG
rnacentral:sRNA from 2 species